rnacentral:rRNA from 1 species
GAGGAAAGAGGGGAGCGUGCAUAACACAUGCAAGUCGAACGAUGAGACUUUAAUGAAGCCUGCGGGGAGAAUUAAAGCGGAGUAGUGGCGAACUGGGGAGUAACGCGUGAGUAACCUGCCUUACACAAGGGGAUGGCCUUAGGAAACGAAGGAUAAUACCCUAUAAAACCAUAGAAGCACAUGCAAUGAUGGUCAAAGUGAUAGCGGUGUAAGAUGGACUUGCGUCUGAUUAGCUAGUUGGUGAGAUAAAAGCCCACCAAGGCAACGAUCAGUAGCCGGCUUGAGAGAGUGUACGGCCAGAUUGGGACUGAGCCACGGCCCCUACUACUGCGAGAGGCAGCAGUGGUGAAUCUUGCACAAGGGGCGUAAUCCUGAUGCGCCGACUCCGCGUGAUCUAGCAGCCCUCUGGGUUGUACAAUCCUUUGGUAUAGGACGAAAAUGACAGUACUAUACGAAUAAGCUCCGGCUAACUACGUG